rnacentral:rRNA from 1 species
AGUGUAGGCGGUUACUUAAGUCGGAUGUGAAAGCCCUGGGCUCAACCUGGGAAUGGCAUUCGAUACUGGGUAACUAGAGUUUGGUAGAGGUAAGUGGAAUUCCGGGUGUAGCGGUGAAAUGCGUAGAUAUCCGGAGGAACAUCAGUGGCGAAGGCGGCUUACUGGACCAAAACUGACGCUGAGGCUCGAAAGCGUGGGGAGCAAACAGGAUUAGAUACCCGAGUAGUCC